rnacentral:piRNA from 1 species
UCCUAAAGUGCUGGGGUUACAGGCAUGAGC